UGUGUGUGUGUGUAUCGGGUGAGAGAGCAGUUGCACGUCUGUAAAUGUAAAUGCUGCAUGUGAAUGUGAAGCUGAGGACAAAGACAGAGCUGCUUUGUUCUCCAUGACAGAAAAAGCCUCUGCAGCUCCUGAAAUGGCGGCAGGAGGAAGGAGGCUGAGGAGGGAGGACUGGAACACCCGGAGCGGAGUCGGGGCUCAGGAUGGAUCUGGAGUCUGAUGUGGUUUCAGGUUUUUUCACGUUGAGAUGAGCUCCUACAUCAUCCUGGGGGACAGAGGUGUCCGGUUUUUGCAGCCGCGGACAGAUCAUGAGACAACGGGCCCCUGGACACAGUAAAAGCCCCGCCCCCUGCAGAGGAGCGUCCUUUAUGGUCGUUCUGAGUCUCUUUGGAAAUGUUUUGUCUCUGAGUCAUUUUCUGGGGGGCGGAGUCGAGGGUCCCUUGAACCCAAUCAGAGAAGGAAACAUCACUCUCCUGGUUCCCCAGCUUGGGAACAACUGUACUGGAGGGAAAAUGAAUCUAUCAGGUUAGACUUCCAGUGAGACGUUCUCCAGCGAGACCGAUCAUGUCUCAGGAGACAGUGUCGGCACCUUCACCUGUCGGUGUCGUACGUGCCGCAGCUUCGCUCUCGCGCCACCCGCAGGUCACGUUUUCAUCUCUGGAAUGAGAAUCUGCCUCGUUGUGUCUGUGACAAGCAACUGAAUCAUUUCUGGUGAAAGGGGCGAGACCUGGUGUGUCAGGCUGCGCUCAGCGUUUUCCUGCUCGGGAUAAAAACAAAUAUUUGCCGUUCGUUGGCUUCGGGGCGGAAAUGUGAAGAAUGAGGAAGUGCUGGUGUGUUUGUGUGGAGCGAGCGAGGCGGGCUGCAGGACACGGCCUGCAGGCUCUCAAACAUGUCGGCUGGCCAAGAUCGCUCCGCACACUUCCUGUUUUUCUCCGCAGCUUCACAUUCAAUCUGAAAACAGAAGCAUAAAAACCCCCUGUGAGGCGUUCGAGGUCUGACUGUGAAUCAGAGCAGUGAAAGUGCUGACGGACACGAGCAGACUGACGAUCUGAGCCGCCACAGACAUUAUUACAUAUUCAUACGAUGUAAAAACGACCUUUCACUGAGAGGAGGCUGCUCCGCCAUGUGUUUGCUCAUCUUGUGUUUUGAUCCUUUUUUAAACCUGUUUCAGACUCGCAGGUUUAACGGGUCCGAGCGGUUCUUUCUGUCCACGUUAUUAAUGAUGUGUCAUGUUUCACAUCCUGUCCGUCCUCAGAAUCAGCAGCUGUCGAUAUUUUCUCCCUUUAUGUUCAUCUCCUGACCUGAGAGAACAAUAAAACACUGGAUUUACAGCAGGAAAGUGAAACCAGUGUAAACGCUACAUAAAAGCACCUGGACUUGUAGCCCAGGAUCUAACUGCUCAUGUUUUUCCUCAUUUCUUAUCUUUUUAUCAUCUUCUGUCUCUUCACGGUUUGUUGGAUGUCGAGACAAGCUGCUGCCUCGCUCUCACGCUGCGUCUCCUGUUGGACACACAGUUGGUUUUAAUGUGAAGAAAUGUGUUGAAUCCAGUCAUAUAUAUUAUAAUAUUAUAUAUUCAGUCAUACUGGGACAACAGCAGAAAGAUGCAUCCACAAGCAGCUGAACACAAACUGUGAGAGAAAGACGUGCACUGUUAGGGUGAGUGAUCCUGACCAGGAGCUGGUUUGCUAAGUGCUAACAUUAGCAUGGCGACAGGCUCACAACCCUGAACCACAGUGGUCAAGAUGUUUCAGUCGGUGGACGGACAGACCGACUCUCUUCACAGGGUCAAACAGAGAAGGUCAGAAGGUCGACGACAUUCAACUCUUCACGUUUUACCAUGAAGAUUAGACGAGAGGCACAAACUGCUGCUGCAGCUCGACCUCUCCGAGACUGAGUUAAUCAAUCCAUACGACCUCUUCCUCCAUGUCUGACCACACACACACACACACACACACACACACACACACACACACACACACACACACACACACACACACACACACACACACACACACACACUCUUCAGGAAGGGAGGGGUGGUCGAGGGGGGAGGAGGUAAUUUGAGAUGUAUUUCCUGAGUCUCAUAAAGCAGCAGACUGAAGACCAACGACUGUUUCCGCUGGGUCCUAAUGUCCAUCAGAAAAUACAAAGAAUAAAACCUUCAACCUUCAGGUCUGUCCUCAGCACCUGUCCCUCACCUGUCCCUCACCUGUGAGGUUAACCAGGUUAACACUCUGGUUAAGGUUAAUGAAAGACUGGCACUUUGGUCAAAUGUUAAAUAAAUAAAUUUAAA